rnacentral:misc_RNA from 1 species
GCCAUUGAAGACUGUAAAGGCGAUCUCCCAAGGAUGAAACACAUUCUCCUUCUGAGGCGAUAGAGUACACAGACUCUGAAACUCCUCGUCCCACUCAACAACGCCGUUGUCCCCNNNNNNNNNUGAAAUUCGUCUUUACCGUACGCCUCAAAGAACUCAGCGCAAAUUUCGGACCCUUCCAUCGAAUCUCCACCGUUAAUUUGUCCAACCUUUUUUCCUUNNNNNNNNNNNNNCCUCCGGCACCAGAUCCCACCCCUCCAUCCUCCGGACCACCAGCGUCACCUGGUACUUCCGAGGACCAGACAGCGGCCAAGGCCGCCACCUCAUCAUCUUCACCACCAUUCCUCAAGAAUCUCCAAAAUAAAAAAGCACAACAACAACAACAACAACAAACCUCAAAAUCUCCAAAUUCAAAACAAUCCAAAAAUCUUCAAAAUUUUUCUUUUCUUUACUCUCUCUCUCUUUCUCUUUCUCCACCUUUCAAACAAUUUAACGAAAAAUGAAAGCGAAAACCAAAUUCAAUGGUUG